rnacentral:rRNA from 1 species
ACAGCAGCCGCCGCGGUAAGACAGAGGAUGCAAGCGUUAUCCGGAAUGAUUGGGCGUAAAGCGUCUGUAGGUGGCUUUUCAAGUCCGCCGUCAAAUCCCAGGGCUCAACCCUGGACAGGCGGUGGAAACUACCAAGCUGGAGUACGGUAGGGGCAGAGGGAAUUUCCAGUGGAGCGGUGAAAUGCGUUGAGAUCGAAAAGAACACCAACAGCGAAAGCACUCUGCUGGGACGACACUGACACUAAGAGACGAAAGCUAGGGGAGCAAAUGGGAUUAGAUACCCCGUGUAGUCCCUGUCUCUUAUA